rnacentral:lncRNA from 1 species
AGAGAAUGUCCGUUUCUCGGAGCGCAGCACAGCCUGUCCCAUCGAGAAGCCUCGGGUGGACAUGGACUCCAUGGAAGCCUGAGCUGCCAGGGGCUUCCCUGGGGCAGCACUGCUUCGCGUAGGCUCACGAGAAACUUCCAGGGUUCCUGGCGCCAGCCUUUCAACAGAGCAGCACAUUAUGCCUGGAUAAGACUCAAAGAGCAGCUUAAUAUCAGGUUCUCUGGGGCUGUAAUCAUCGGUUCAGGAUGGAGCAGACACAGCCGCAGCAAGGCCUCUGUGCAGCCCCCGGUUUAAAACACAUCAACGCAUCCGUGGGCACUUUUCGUAAGAAAAAUCACAUCCUGUUCCCCAGUAGCUGAGGAAAGCCGGCUCACGAGAGUAUACAGGGAGAAGAGGCCAGCAUUGUGUGGCUGCCAGCAAAGCUCACUUGUAUGUCAAAUGCAGCGCUUUUCUUAGCCCAUUAUGUAUUUUUUUUUUCUUGAACACUCCUGUGUCUACUGGGAUCUCCUGUUUUUAUUGUUUUGGGAUGAGAUUUUAAAAACACCAUUUAAUGUAGCCUGUGUGCUCUUGUUCAUUAAACCAAAAAGAAACCCUGGAUCACGGCACAGGAGACUCUCCUCCCCGUUCUCUAGGGAUGCGCCCUCAUGGGGAAACCCUCUUUUCUCAUUAUUUUUGAUGGUGUGCUCUAACAAGACGAUCUGGAGGAAACUCCAUGUUCACAGGACACAUUCCUGCAACGUGGCUUGAAGGGCCCACACCAGGGUUUGGCUCAUCCAUGUCGCAAACUAGAGGGGAGGAGGGUGCUGGCUAUUUCCCAUCUGCAGUCUCAGUUUCCCCACCAGAGGACUGGAGGGAGUACUUGGGUGGGCUGUGAUGCAAUCCCGGCACGAACCCCCCAGCACUGGCAUUGGAGUCGGAGGUUUGGGCAUAGUCGCCAACAUCGCACUUACUUCCAUGCCAGCACCAAGUCUGCGGCUCCCCAGGCCACUCUCACUUCUGACCACAAGUUCAAGGCUCCCACAGCCUCUCUGGGGUCCGUAGUUCACUAGAACGACUCGCAGAACUCAGAAAAGCUCUGUCCUCACAACUGCAGCCCUACCACCGAGGCCACGCUGAGGACCCAGCAGCGGAGACGCAUCCAGGGCCGGUCGAGAUCAGGAGGGUCCCAACCUGGGGUUCCCGGGCCCUCUCCCUGUGGAAGGGGGCAGGGGGCACUUCCCCUCCCGCACGUCUGCGAGUUCUCACCGGGGCCUCCUUCUGUAGGGAUCACUGCCCAGGUGAUGAGCUCCUUCUCAAGCCUCCUCCCUUUUGGGAGGUCAAAGUUCAGCUAUACCAUGCGGCCCCACCCUGUAAUUGCAUAGUUGGCCUUUCUGGUGUGGCCAGCCCCAUGCAGACCCUAAGAUGC